rnacentral:lncRNA from 10 species
AGGCACAGUGGCUCACAGCUGUAAUCCCAGCACUUUGGGAGGCCAAGACAGAAGGAUCACUUGAGAUCAGGAGCUCGAGACCAGCCUGGGCAACAUAACAAGCCUCUAUCUCUACAAAAUUUAAAAAAAAAAAUUAGCUAAGCAUGGUAGCAUGCAGUUGUAGUCCCAGCUAUUUGGGAGGUUGAAAUAGGAAGAUUGCUUGAGCCCAAGAGUUUGAGGCUGUAGAAAGCUGUGAUAGUGCCACUACAUUUGAGCCUGGGUGGAAGGGUGAGACCCUGUCUCUAAAAUAAUAAUAAUAAUAAUAAUAAUUAUUAUAUUUAUAAGUUUAUUGGUAUAAAGUUAUACUUUAUUCCUGUAUGACACUUUGACCUCAAAUUUUAGCCUUUAAUCUGUGUCUCUAUGCUUAAUUUUUUUAAAUCUUAUUUCUUUAUUCUUGGGAAUAUCUGCAAGAAGUUUUUAUUUUAAUACUAUUUUGAAAAAGGAAGCUUACUUUAAUAAAUUAUGCUUAUUUAAAGUGUUAAUUUCUAUUUUACUUUUAUUGCUUCUGCUAUCUAACUUUCUCUAAGAGAAGACUACCAGUACAUGUGGAUGCAUAGUUUCUUGAUAAAAUUGAUGACUCACUCUACUGAAAAACAAAUAAAAAAAAAUCUGAGUUCAUUAUGCAUUUCAUUCCUUAGGUAGAAUAUUUUAAAAUUUUAGCACUUAUAUUUCUAAAUUGUUUUUAUUCUUCUUUGAUUCAUUUAUCAUAGUAUCUUGCUUUUGAUUUAUGGAUGCCAUAUGGUCUCAAUUUCCAUGGAGAAUACUAACUCUCUUCUUUCUUGUAUUAACUCUGUUUCAUUAGAAAAAUGACAUUUACUGCCUUUGAGCUUCUUUUCAGAAUACUGAGUAUGUUCCUGUGUCACCUUAUUUGCCAAUAGUGCCAAUUUUUAGAAUGGAGGGUGUAGAUCCAUCCUUUGCAACUGGUGAGGACCUCCUCAGUAAGGCACUGAGCCAGGAGUCUAUACAGCCAUGCCAGCAGGGAGCACUGUCUUUCAUUGUCUGAUGUUUAUUGCAAACCUGUUCUUUUCAGCUUUUUGUUGUUUCAGCCUAGUCCAAAGACGUUUACAUCCUGGAAGAGAACUUGCUGGCUUUUCACCUCAGCAUGUAUGGGCCAAACUAAUAUAACAAGAAGUCUUGAGAGGAGUCAGCGGCCAAGCUCCAUGUCUUGCAGCCAAACAAUGCUGUGGGAUGGAAGGUGGGAUGUCAUGUGUCUGGUUUACAGCACUCACGUAUCAGUUGGCAGUUAACGGAAGUGCUACUGAUUGUAACAGUGGAAGCAAUUUGAAAUGAAAUACAACACUUAAAGCAAAUGAAACGGAAGUGAAUGCCAGCAGUAAAUGGCAAGAAGAAAUCCAGUUCAGUGUGUUCCUCAGAAAUCUUGCCUCUUGGGACUAAAUGCUGCAAAUGUAACUCUUAUCCUUGUUUUUCAAGUUUUACCAUCUCAAAGCUAUCCACUUUAUAUUAAAUUAGUUCUGUUAUAUUAUGUCAAUUUGUAUUCUUAAGAGCACAAGUUUGGCCUCAAAUAGACCUGAGCUGAGAUCCAAUUCUUUAAUUUAUCUGUGUUGUUUUCUUUUUCCUUAGCUUUAAAGUGGAAAAAAUGCUACUUACAUUUUAUUUAUGAAGGUUAAAGAUAAAGUGUCUGAUAUGGGACCUAUCAUAUGUGGUAGGCACUUAGUACAUGGUAGCAAUUAUGAUUAUUAUAUCUGAUAUUAGCAUUAUUAUUAUGAUUUGUUUUAAUCUUCAAAGUAUCAACUGUUUCUAUUACAUUUGUGGUAAAUACUCCUAAACAGAGUUUUUAAGUUCAAGUGUCCAAAGUUGUUAGAAACAAAGAUAUUUGACAAUAACAUAAUCAUAUCACAUGACCUCAUGAUUUAACCACCUCCCAAAGUUGCCACCUCCUAAUAUUAUCACCUUGGGGGUGAGGUUUCAACAUAUGAAUUUUAGAGGAACAUAAACAUUCAGACCAUAGCAAUAAUGAAGAUAAAGAGUUUAUUCAUAGAUAAAUGUUAAGAAGUAGAUACUGUUUGUUAGGAGAAGUGUCCACAGUUAGGGAGAAGUUAGAGGUCUGGUGUCAUCUUUGAUUUUUGUGUUUCUUCCGGAACCCUGUUGCCUGGCUUCCUACACUAUUUCUUGUGUCUUUUUCUUGUAGCUAAACUUGAACAUUUUUUCCUUGAGUACCAUUUUACAAUCAACUGUGCUUUUAUGCAGUGGACUUUCACUGAAUGUCCCCUAUUGGAAAUUUUAACAACAAUUUAACAACUAUUUAUUUGAUACUUUCUGUAUAACCAAUAUUAUUGAACAUCCUAGGAACACAUACAUAAAUAAAACUUGA